rnacentral:lncRNA from 1 species
AAAAUGUUAGCAGUAGGCUUCUAUCCCCAUAAUUUGAAUAUCGUGUCUAUUAGGACAUGAUCUUGCCAUAUAGUCUGAGAGGUUGGUUUCAUCAUGCUUUUCUUUGUUUGAACGUUGUGCCUUUUUACAUGGAUUAACUUUUUUGGUAUCAUUUUCUUCUUUGUCUAUGCAGACACUAAUAGUAACACCAGCCCAAUCCAACCUUUACUGACCCGGCCCGUAACCCUUUUGCCUUUUCCUCUUUUAACAUCAACAACACAAUUUCAACACAGCAACAUCAAUAACGCAGAACAAAGUCAACAGCAGCAACAACUGACAACGACAGCAGCGACCCAUACUAGCAACAUCAAUAACACCCACAAUUUCAAGGCAACAACAGUAAAGCAAUUUUGAAAUUCAAAUCUCAAUUGGUAUUCCCUCUUUACCCCUCCGUUUUCCCCAAAUCAGUGCAAAAGCUCCUAUAAAUACCCAUGUAUGUAGAGUGAAGGGAAGAAGAGGAUUUUUGGAGAAAAAUUGAGGGUUUGGGAGGCGUGAGUUUCUAAUCCUACGCAACCAAAAAUUCUCGAAGAAACACCGGUUUGAAAUCGUCCAUUCGUCGUCCAGAUUCGCUGCUCCGAAACCGGUAAGGACUUCAUUCUCUUUGUAUUUAUCUUCACUUUUAUUUUUAUGUAUUUGGAAAUUGUAAUUGCAAAUUGAAUACUGUGUUGUCAUUUCGAUCCUUCGUUGGGCUUAACAAGUUAUACGAUUUGUCAGACGGGUUUAUAUUGGAAUAUAUGUGUGUUUGGUGUGUAUCGGAAUUGAAAGUAUAAUUAAUCAUUAACAUGGAUUGAAAAACUCGAAGCUUUUAACAGAUUGUGCCAUGUUUGAUUAUCAUCUUAAGCCUCGGUUACUUUUUUUCCCACUUGUAAAAGGUUGAAAAUAUGCUUUAAAUUUUUUAUGAAUUCCUAAUUACUAAAUCUUAAAUAGUAUUAUCUGUACAGACAAUGUGUAACUCCAGUGGCUUCCCAUUUUAUUCAGUUUAUUUUUCUCUUUUCUAUAGAAAUAAAUUCAUAAGUAGAUUGUGAUUAUAGCAUGUUUAAGUCAUGUUCUUGGUUUUUCUUUUGGUUCCAUUUUGGAAUAAAAUAAUUUUAUCUUUGCUAGCCAUUGAAAUAAAAAUAUGUAUACAUAUAUGUAUGUUUUACUAAAUGUUUCAAAUGAGACUAGUUAUAAGAUUUGUUAUGUUCACUUAAUUUUGUUCCAGUAAAAUAGCAGGUUCUUAAUGUUAGUUGCCACACUUGAAUAAAAGUCCUCAUCACCUCCAAUUUUGUGUCCUUAUCACCUCCAAUUUUGUGAUAAAUAUGUGUGAUUUCAUUAUUUCUCAUUGGCCUAGGUCGCGUAAGCCCGGUUAGUGGAUCUAUUUGAUAAAUAAUAUGUUCCUCCUCGCUUUACUUUCCUCAAAAACCUAGUUAAUGUUUUGUUGUUAUUUGAUUCAUUUUACUGUUGGGUUCCAAGGAAUUAUUGUUUUUUUUUUCUUUAUAAAAGAUAUGUAUAAUUAUUCAAAAUCUAAAAUGUUAGCAGUAGGCUUCUAUCCCCAUAAUUUGAAUAUCGUGUCUAUUAGGACAUGAUCUUGCCAUAUAGUCUGAGAGGUUGGUUUCAUCAUGCUUUUCUUUGUUUGAACGUUGUGCCUUUUUACAUGGAUUAACUUUUUUGGUAUCAUUUUCUUCUUUGUCUAUGCAGACACUAAUAGUAGAACUAUCUAUCUUUCAUGAAAUUCUAAAUGUAUUUGCUAUCUUGAUUAGUUUAGGGUUUUGGAUGUUGAUAACUGUUAAAAUUAACAUCAGUCGUCCUCUUGACGUGUUAUUAAUUCCUUGUCUUUUUUUUGCAUAAAACCAUCUUGAACGAGUCCAAUGGGACUCCCCAUAUCGUUGCAUCGACCCACAUUAUCUCGAGUCAAGCCUUAAAGUCCAAAACUGGACUGAUAUGCAUGGGAUAUACACUUAGAUACAAUUGGUGUACACUGGAAAGCAGCUGAUAAUGGCGUAUAUUAAAAGUAGAAGCGAGCAUACAAGGUUUAUACACAGAUAUACAGAAGGUAUACAAAAAUCCGAUAAUACAGUCCGAUAUACAUCAGAUAUACAAAAACGCAGGGAAAGAAUAGCUGCUGUAUACAGCUGAUAUACAGGAGAAAAUGGAUUGAAAUCCAUUCGGCUUAGGCCCAAGAGCUGGGCAGCCCAGUAAUGGUCCAAAAGGGCCCAAUUUUUACUCUUUCUUUAUUUUUUAUUCCUACUUAUUUGUAUUUAUUUGAACACUAACUAACUAAUCUAGGUAAAUUCCCUAAAUUGUUGUCACUUUUAUUUUAUCUUAGUUUUUUUCGCUUAAUUAAUAAUUUCCUCACCUAAUUUAUAUUGUUUAAGACGGAUUAAAUUAUUUCCUUUGAUUUUCUCCUUAAAAUAAGUCUUUUAAAAGUG